CCUACGGGAGGCAGCAGUGGGGAAUAUUGGGCAAUGGGCGCAAGCCUGACCCAGCAACGCCGCGUGAAGGAAGAAGGCUCUCGGGUUGUAAACUUCUUUUAUCAGGGACGAAGCAAGUGACGGUACCUGAUGAAUAAGCCACUGCUAACUACGUGCCAGCAGCCGCGGUAAUACGUAGGUGGCAAGCGUUAUCCGGAUUUACUGGGUGUAAAGGGCGUGUAGGCGGGAAAGCAAGUCAGAUGUGAAAACCAUGGGCCCACCCUGUGGCCUGCAUUUGAAACUGUUUUUCUUGAGUACUGGAGAGGCAGACGGAAUUCCUAGGGUAGCGGUGAAAUGCGUAGAUAUUAGGAGGAACACCAGUGGCGAAGGCGGUCUGCUGGACAGCAACUGACGCUGAGGCGCGAAAGCGUGGGGAGCAAACAGGAUUAGAUACCCGGGUAGUC
rnacentral:rRNA from 1 species